CAUAUACUCCCUCCGUUCCAAAAUACCUGACUUCUAUUUGUCUAAAAAUGGAUUAUCAUAUACUAAAACAUGUCUAGAUACAUCUAUAUUUUGACAAUGAAAGGCAUGUAUUGUGGAAUGGAGGGAGUACAUG
rfam:Triticum urartu cultivar G1812 contig10856, whole genome shotgun sequence.